GUGAGACAUUAACUGGCAAUGGCAUUUUCACAGUUACUCCACCUGAAAGACAUCCACCAUUUAUGAGUCCAGAUUUCAGUUACCCUGAAUUGUCCACAUUAAAUGCCAGCGACGGUCGGGACCAAGGAGGCAGGGGUCAUUUCACACAAUUAAUG